GACGAACGCUGGCGGCGUGCUUAACACAUGCAAGUCGAACGGAAAGGCCCUGCUUUUGUGGGUUGCUCGAGUGGCGAACGGGUGAGUAACACGUGAGUAACCUGCCCUUGACUUUGGGAUAACUUCAGGAAACUGGGGCUAAUACCGGAUAGGAGCUCCUGCUGCAUGGUGGGGGUUGGAAAGUUUCGGCGGUUGGGGAUGGACUCGCGGCUUAUCAGCUUGUUGGUGGGGUAGUGGCUUACCAAGGCUUUGACGGGUAGCCGGCCUGAGAGGGUGACCGGCCACAUUGGGACUGAGAUACGGCCCAGACUCCUACGGGAGGCAGCAGUGGGGAAUAUUGCACAAUGGGCGGAAGCCUGAGGCAGCAACGCCGCGUGCGGGAUGACGGCCUUCGGGUUGUAAACCGAUUUCGCCUGUGACGAAGCGUGAGUGACGGUAAUGGGUAAAGAAGCACCGGCUAACUACGUG
rnacentral:rRNA from 1 species